AGUGAACGCUGGCGGUAGGCCUAACACAUGCAAGUCGAACGGCAGCACAGAGGAGCUUGCUCCUUGGGUGGCGAGUGGCGGACGGGUGAGGAAUACAUCGGAAUCUACUCUGUCGUGGGGGAUAACGUAGGGAAACUUACGCUAAUACCGCAUACGACCUACGGGUGAAAGCAGGGGAUCUUCGGACCUUGCGCGAUUGAAUGAGCCGAUGUCGGAUUAGCUAGUUGGCGGGGUAAAGGCCCACCAAGGCGACGAUCCGUAGCUGGUCUGAGAGGAUGAUCAGCCACACUGGAACUGAGACACGGUCCAGACUCCUACGGGAGGCAGCAGUGGGGAAUAUUGGACAAUGGGCGCAAGCCUGAUCCAGCCAUACCGCGUGGGUGAAGAAGGCCUUCGGGUUGUAAAGCCCUUUUGUUGGGAAAGAAAUCCAGCUGGCUAAUACCCGGUUGGGAUGACGGUACCCAAAGAAUAAGCAC
rnacentral:rRNA from 1 species